CAGAGACACUCGAAGAACAACAACGAUCUUGCCUUCUUUACGUACGAUGAGAAGAGAAAGUUAGGGUAUGGAACACAAAAGGAGAGGCUGGGAAAAGAUUCAAUCAAGCCAUUCGAUGCUUGUUCCCUUUGUUUAAAACCCUUCAUCGAUCCGUUGUGUUGCCAGAAAGGGCAUGUCUUUUGCAAAGAAUGCAUUCUAGAAUGCCUUUUGUCCCAGAAAAAGGAUAUCCAAAGAAAGUUAGCUGCUCAUACAGGUCAGCAGAAGCAAGAAAAAGAAGAGGAAGAGGAGAGGUUGAUGCUGCAGAAAGCCAGGGAUCUUGAUGCAUUUGAUCAACAAAAUCAUGGUCCAGUUCCGCAGUACAAUGAUAAGAACUACAACAGAGACAAAAAUGGAUUCCAUGGAGCUAACAGUGUGAAAGCUACUUCUUAUGAGGAGGAAGCACUUAGAACCAUGAAAGCAUUUUGGCUGCCCUCU
rnacentral:misc_RNA from 1 species